AUUAGAGCUUGAGCACUAUUCAGAGAAGAAGAGAGAUGAGUUAAGGGGUCUUACAGGAAGAAAACAUGGCCAAAGGUCAGGACUGAAGGAAAAGGAGAGUUGCAGGGAAGGACACAACAUGGACUUGAAAUGCUUUUGAAUGUUGCCAAUACUUUGCUACAAAAAGGAGGCCAUCAUCCUUGGAUUGUGUGUUAACUUCAGAUGAGAAACCUGAGGCUCAGAGAGGUUAACUGGUGAUGCACCACAGCCAGCAAGCCUCAAACCUGGAUUCAUGCCCAGGCUCUCUGGCUCCAGUGUCUGUGCUCUUCUUGAUACACCUUGUUUCAGCCUGUCAACCACUUCUGCAGUACAGACACCUGGAAAACUUGAGGCUUGUGCUCACCGCCCAAGUAGCUCUGAAAAUGACCCAAAUUUAAAGAACCACUAAGCACCAUAAUGGAGAAAUAUGUGGAAACUAACUGUAAGAAUGAAUGUUCCGGUGCCCAGAAUGGACAACAUCUGCAGAAAAAGAGAUAGAUGCAUUUGCUAAUCCUGAUGUACUGUUUAAAAGGAGAAAAGAAAAAGAAAGAAUGAAAAAGUGAAAGAAGGAAUAUAAGGCAAAGCUCUGAUAGGUUCUGAGCGUGCCCAGUAGGGAUGAUUUAACACCGCGCUGAUGACUUGCAACAGAAGAUCGUCAUGUGAAAAGGUGAAAUUUAAAAGGCAAGACACCUAAUAAAAUGAAGAAGUUUUGAAAAUCUGCACAGAUCUAGCAAUGAUCAUUUUUAACCCCCAGACAAUAAGAAUAGUUUAGUACAAAGACUAAAUUAUUUAAGGAAAAAGUAGUUUACUCUCUAUUCAUUCAACAAAUAUUUAUUGUUAUCCAUUCAUUUAGCCCUUAUUGAGCAGACAUUCUUUUUUUAUAAAUGUUUAUUUAU